UACAGAGGUCUCAAGCGUUGUUCGGAUUCAUUGGGCGUAAAGGGUGCGUAGGUGGCAUGGUAAGUCGGAUGUGAAAUCCCGGGGCUCAACCCCGGAACUGCAUUCGAUACUGCCAUGACUAGAGGUCGGUAGGGGAGUGUGGAAUUCCUGGUGGAGCGGUGAAAUGCGCAGAUAUCAGGAGGAACACCCGUAGCGAAGGCGGCACUCUGGGCCGAUUCUGACACUGAGGAGCGAAAGCGUGGGGAGCGAACAGG
rnacentral:rRNA from 1 species